AUACAAUUCAGAUGAAUGGAACAGAUAACUAAAAUGGGAUGCUAUCAUUACUGUAAAACCAAUGGCUAAUCUUCUGCGCAAUGUAAUUAAGUUCAUAAUUAUAUUUCUAAACUUCAAAAUGUGAAUGCAGAGACAUGAAGAAACGUAAAAGAAUACCAAAAUAGUUUUGUGCAUCCGAAUGCACUCCUAGUUUAUAGAAUCAGUAGCGUGCGAGUGUGGGCAAAUGUGCAGG
rnacentral:misc_RNA from 1 species